rnacentral:rRNA from 1 species
GGCGGUCAACUUCACGCGUUMGUACGUUACUAAGUCAAUGAAGACCCAACAACUAGUUGACAUCGUUUAGGGCGUGGACUACCAGGGUAUCUAAUCCUGUUUGCUCCCCACGCUUUCGUGCAUGAGCGUCAGUAUUGGCCCAGGGGGCUGCCUUCGCCAUCGGUAUUCCUCCACAUCUCUACGCAUUUCACUGCUACACGUGGAAUUCUACCCCCCUCUGCCAUACUCUAGCCCGCCAGUCACAAAUGCAGUUCCCAGGUUAAGCCCGGGGAUUUCACAUCUGUCUUAGCGGACCGCCUGCGCACGCUUUACGCCCAGUAAUUCCGAUUAACGCUUGCACCCUACGUAUUACCGCGGCUGCUGGCACGUAGUUAGCCGGUGCUUAUUCUUCCGGUACCGUCAUCCUCCCACCGUAUUAGGGCAGAAGUUUUCUUUCCGGACAAAAGUGCUUUACAACCCGAAGGCCUUCUUCACACACGCGGCAUUKCUGGAUCAGGCUUUCGCCCAUUGUCCAA